AGUGCUCCUUUCUCUUGGUGGAGGUGGUGCCGGGGCAGGGAGAGGGCCAAUCCUGGCUUCUCCCGAGGAUGCUCGCGAUGUUGCAGCCUACCUCUGGAACAAUUACUUGGGCGGUCAAUCAGACUCUCGCCCACUUGGUGCUGCUGUUUUAGAUGGUAUAGACUUUGACAUCGAAUAUGGAUCGAACCUGUACUGGGAUGAUCUCGCCCGGGCACUCUCGGGAUACAGCACAGCAGAGAGAAAGGUGUACUUAUCUGCAGCACCACAAUGCUUCUUUCCUGACUAUUAUCUUGAUGCUGCUAUCAGAACUGGCCUCUUUGAUUUCGUCUGGGUGCAGUUUUACAACAAUCCGCUUUGUCAGUAUGGUACAACCACAGGCAAUGCCGAUAACCUCUUGAACAGUUGGAGUAUUUGGUCUGCCUCUUCAGGCGUUAAUAAAUUAUUCCUGGGAUUACCUGCAGCCGAAGCGGCCGCACCUGGUGGCGGUUACAUCCCACCUGAAGUGCUAGUUGAACAGAUUCUUCCCGUUGUGCAGAGCUAUCCCAAGUAUGGAGGGGUCAUGCUUUGGAGCAGAUACUAUGACCAAAACUACAGUACAGCAAUCAGGCCUUAUGUUAACGGUGAUCCUCUGACUUAUACAACCAAGUCCGUGAAAAAAUCCCAUGCUGUAGCAUGAGUUCCUCUCAUUAUCUGCCGCGAGAUGAAAUGUAGUCCUGGCUGCUUAUGCCAGAGAUCAAUCUACUAAUGAAUAAUGGGCUAUGAGUUCCCAAAUCGAUUAAAAUGUUCAGUAAAUUUCUUCCCGUUUUAACCGCGCUCUCUCUCUCGAAUGAAGGGGUACAAGAUCUAGUUUGAAGAACCAGUUGCACCUUCUCUUUUUUUUAUUUUUUAUACAACAUCUUCUAGAUAAUAAUUUUUCGAUAAUAUUCAAACCACAUUGAAAUUGAAAAAGAAAAUGUUAAUUUGCAAUUGAAGUUUGAGGAACAGUAUCUAUUUCCCCUCAUAUUUCAAUGCAAGUCACUUUGAGACUUAUGACAAUUUCACUAACCUCCCAUCAAAUCUGAAAAACAACGAUUACCUCCCCUCUUCUUAGAUUUGGUCUGAUGAUUUCAGUGUAUUUGGUAUACAUUCCUACAACAAAGGGAUAACAAUCGAAGGGCUUUCGUUUUUAUUAAUUUUUUGGAGUACAAAUUAAUUUCUCAUUAGCAUGUUAUGAAACAUAUGAUAUUCUUGUUCUCAACAAUUUCUUUCUACUAAAAAAUGAAUAGAGAGAAGGGGGAAAAAAGUAAGCCUCAGCUGAUUAAAUUAUGUCCACGCAUAAAUUGUCACAAAGGUUUCUUAAGGGAAAAAGGGUUGGGGGUGGGGGCGGGGGUUCCCUGGGUUAAUUUAACCAAAAUUGAUUAAAGUAAUGAGGUUGGCUUGAUUAAAUUAUGUUUAUCACAAUUGGGUCAUUUCUUAAAAUAUUGACCUUAACAAAGAUGAUCCAUUUCUUGAAAAUGGGCUUUCCUAGAAAAUUUGCGUUCUAGAAAAGCCAUUCUUGGGCAGAUGAUGAAUAAGACUUCGUAUUUUGGGCUGAAUGAAAUGGAUGACACGCCAAAUUUGAUUAUUUAGCCACCGAAUAAAUAUGUUGGGUUUUAUAAAUCACUAUAAGUAAUGGUGUCUUAACUUUGGUUAAUUAGUUAAUUUAGAACACGCAUGGUGAAAUUGGGCUGACAAAGAAAAUAUUAAAGGAUGAUAACGUUUAUAGUGAGCCAAGUACAAUUAUUAUGAAACAAAAUGCCUCACAUUCACAAAUCCCUCAAAUGCUAUCUUUCAAUGCCAAUAAACUACUGGUAUCCAACUCCAAGAUCGCUCCAAAAUUCUAGCCCAAUCAGACACUGUUCCCUUGUUCACAAAAUAAACUUUUACCUCUCUAUGAUUUGUUGCUUUACCACGUGAUUUCCUUAUUAGUUUAAAAACUCAUAUAUACCACAUGACCCCUUAUUGUUUAAAAACCUAUAUAUAAUUCCUUCAUGGUUUGGGUUAAAGUGUUACCAUUGAUUUUUUUCAUUAAAACUAAUGGUCAAUAGUAAAGCGUUAAAAUUAAACUAAUAAAUUGACAAAUUCACUCUUUCACUAUUUUUUUUCCAUUUUCUUUCUUUUUUUUGGUGGAAGAGAAGAGAUGAUUUGGAAACAUAUACUUUGGCCUAUAAAACCUUAAUUUUCUCCAAUUACAAAAGAGAUGGGAGGGAAAUAAAAAAGUAAAUGAGUAAGAAACAAAAAAGAUGGAAGGGAAAUAUAAAACAAAUAAAUAAGAAACAAAAAAUAUCAAAUCUUUUUUUAUCACUAAUAUCAUUACAGAUUUUUAAACCAAAUCUUUGAUGGUAUUUUCUUAUUCUUAUUUAUCUAUUUUUUAUUUUAAUUUCUUCUUUUUUAUGUUUAGAGGGGUAUAAAAGGAAUUAAUGAAAGGGUAAAUUUCUUAAUUUAUUAGUUUAAUUUUGACUUUUACUAUUAACCAUUUGUUUUAAUGAAAAAACUAACAGUCACAUAUUAUCUAAAAUCAUGAGAGGGUUAUAUACAAGUUUUCAAAUCAUAUGGGGUUUACGUGGUAAAGUACCAAACUACAAGGGGUAAAAGGUAAUUUAUCCUUUUUCCAAAUCAGCCCAACAUUUUAAAUUGCCAAACAUUUGCCACUGCUCAAUUGCAUCACUUGCAACAGAAUUUUUUGAAAUUAUCAAAAUACUUGUUUUCUAUCAUCACCAAAUUCAUCCAAACUCACAAAAUUUAUAAAAUAAAAAUCCCAUACAUGUUUAAUCCUUGACAAAUAGCAAUCCAAACAAGGUAACAAGUUUAUGUUCAAUUCUUGAUAAAUAUCAAUCUAAAUAAAGUAACAUGUUCAAUUUCUAAACCAAAGUACUAUCUAAGCCAUUAUUCACCUUCAUCUUCAUUAUCCGUAUCUCCGAUUUCUUAACUUUCAAAAUCGAUAUCAUCAAGAUCAUCCUCAUCAUCAAGUUGCACAAUAUUUGUGUCGUUCUUACCUAAAAAUCAUUUAAAUACUCAUAAAUAAAAAUAUUCAAAAAUAGACAAGAACUAAAAAGAAACUUAGAUAAAGUUAGCAAAUGCAUUCCAAAAUUCAUCUAUGUAGCUAAUAAUGGUCCAUUGAUUACAUGCUUGGCAACCUGAAUCUUGAUUGGAGGCAUUCAAAGCUCAAGUAAUUGAUAUUAAAUACAUUUUAAAAGCAUAUAAUGCUUUCCUUGACUAUCAUUUUAAAAGAAUUGCCCAAACUCCAUUUAUUAGUCAUACGAGUUUUCCCAUCUUCUAAUCUACUAUUUUCACUUGUCAUCUGAUCAUAUUAUAGGUUAAGCCCAUCUUCCGGAUUUCCAUGAAUACAAUGGUCUAAAAUCAAAGCAUCCCAGGAAACUAAACUCUUCAUCGGCAUCCUUCCACAUCUAUUAUACAUAUCAAUUAAGGACGACGUGUUAACAAUCAAACUCAAAUUUCCAGAUUCUGUAAUAAGAGUUCCGUGAAUUGAUUUUCCUUGUUUCAAUCUGGCAGACCUACCACAAGCAGUAAGCACAUUCACCAUAAUUGUUUCAUUGCCUUAAAUCCGAGCUUCACCAUUUCCCUGAAUAACUUCAACCCAUUUCCAGGAUUCCCCAGAUCCAAAUAACCUGUCCUCAUUAUAUUCCAUGAAACAAUAUAUUCCACAAAACAACACCACAGUUUGUUUUCUCUAAAUCAACAGAUACCAUUUUUUUUCUAGUGUCAUUUUGAGUUUAUCAACAACUUGUCUCUUUAAAUAAAAAAAUUAAAAACACCACUACCAACUGAAAAACUUUAUUCACACCCGUAACAUCCAAAUCCCAAAUACCCAGCAUAAUGAAUCAAAAAAAAAAAAUACUGAAAUUUCAGUCUGAUUGUUCCAAAUCUCAUCACAAAGAGUAGCAAAAAGCUCCGAAUCCUCACUUGAAAAGACUUCACAAAAUUGAAAGAUGAUCACCAACUGAAUAAGUAUUUUCAUCAAUGUGAUACCUUAAGUUUCAAAUAGUGGUAUUAAAGGUUUUAGGAUUUAAGAAGCGUGGAGAGAGAAGGAUAAAAUGAGAUGUGAAUUAUAUAGACAAGUUACAUGUCAAACUAGGAAUUGUAAUUAAAAAAACAAAUUGAAAAAGCUUAUUAUUUAUUUUUCUUAUUCUUUUUGCUUUAAAAUGUGGGUUUUAUAUGAAAUUUUUGUCAGUCAAGUACUAUUACCACAUUUGAAUUGUAUUCAAUUGAUAAUAAUAAACUAAAUUAAUAUUCUAAUGUAAAGGACUAAAGUGAUAAAGUUAAAAGUUAAAGGUCUAAAUAGAUAUUUUGAUAAAAGUUUGAGGACUUCUAAUAUACUGUGACUUAUCUGAAUUUAUAUCAAUGGGAUUAGAGUUCUGUUUGCAUGUCAACAAAACAUUUUUCCAAAAUGAAAAUUAUGUGAGGCCUCUACAGUGGAAAGUCAAGCAAUUAAGAAUACUUUUGUUACUACUUUGUAUCAUCUAUUUUUCCCCCCUUGAAUAAGUUCUUUGCAUUCUUGUUGUUAUUGAAGAAGAUGAAACUAGUUAGCUAAAUUAAAAAAUAAAUUUUGGCUUCAAAUUUAAGGUACCAGUUAAAUAGAGCAUAGAUUUUGUCAAAGAGUAACAUUAUACAAUAUUGUUGAAUUCAGACACUUAUCGGAUCGGCCAGACCAUUCUAAAAAAUUCUCUGAAGUUAGCAUGAUGUCAUAAUUAUUUUAUAUUUUUAUAAGUUUUAGAAAUAUUGAAAUUAAAUUUUUUGUUAUACUUGGCCAACCAUAAAAAUGUUACAAAAAUAUUAGGCUUGUAAUCAAAUAUACAACUAAAAAUUAUAUAUAAAUAUAUGAAUUCGUGUCUAAAAUAUUUCCAUUCUCUAAAAUUACUUAAAAACUAAAUUAAAACAAAUCAUACCCAAUUCGAGAUCUUUUUGCUUGGAAUAUGACUUUAUAAUACAGGAAUCACUAAUGAUAAAUUGAUAAGAUGAUAAGGAUGAAAACUUCUUCAUUUAGAGAUCAUUGAGGGAAGCGAGUGAUUUUAAUGUUUAUACUAAGUUAGUGGCAUUUUCUUAUUUCUAUUAAUAAAUAAAAGUUUUACACUUUAAGUAACUCAAAUUAUGUUUCAGGGGAACAAGAGAGAAAAGUUUGAGAAUUGAGUCAAAUAGUUGAAUCGAAUCACUAGUUUGGCUGAUUUUGAUAGUUUUGAUUAAUUUUUGACUAAAAUGAUUUUGUGCUACUAACUACCUUCGGAAAAAAGUAGAUUCAUAUUCAGACUGAUCGGUUUGGUUUGGGACAACACUGACAUUAUAUGGAUAAAGCAUUUGUGAACAAACUUAUACCAAGACUAGUUGUUAGUUCAAGAGAGUUGGGACUGAUAAAUUUUCAACAAGUCUAUAAUUUGUGCAAAAAUUAAUUAUUCAAAGGGUAAUUACCAUUUCAACUUUUAUAAAAAAAAUGUCCAUGUUUAAGGAACAAUUGAAGGCACGUCAGUCAUCCAAUUAGUCUAAAGCUAAUAAUUAUAGAACAAACUACAUUGGCAUCGUAUUCUUGACGGGGAAAGAACCUCAGGGGCUGUCGAAGCUGGGGUUUCGAUCGUAGAGCUGGUUCUUAAGUGCGACAUCGACGACUAUAUUUAAUAGUCAAUGAAAUAACCGCAACCUAUUUUCCAAGUUUGAGAAAAAGAAAUCAAUAAAUUUUGUUAGGGCAAGCAAUAAAAAAAUAAAAAAAGAUUUAAUACGCUUUUCUAAGAUAUUUAUUAUUCAAUUCUUUAGCAUACAUAUAUUGUAAUUUUGAUAUAAUUGUAUCUCAUUUCAUCUUAAAGCUUUUAAAUUUUAAGAAACCAUCUUAACUGAAACUUCAACAUUAUGAUCAACAAGGCCAAGUCAAAACUUCACCAUUUUGAUCAAGUCAUAAUGAUCAACUAUGCCAAGUUGCAGCAAUUUGAUUUUGAACUUCGCCACCCUGAUUUUUUGUCAAUUAUCCUAAGGGUAUGUUUGGUUCCCUAUGUAAUUGGGAUUUAGAAUUAGAAUUGGGGCUCCAAUUCUAAUUCUGUUGUUUGGAUUCUGCUUCACUUGAAGAAUAAGAAUUCAAUCUGAAUUCUAUAGGGGUCCAAUUCCAUAAAUUGAAUUCUUUAUUGGACCAAAAGAAUCCUAAUUCCAAUUCCACAACUAAACCCUAAGAAACGGAUCUACACGCAGAUCUAAUAUGGGUAAAAAAUUAAAAGCGGGUCAAGUAUUCAAGCAUCUCUCUCUCCCAUUCUACUCACAAUGGAUCUUCUAUCCCACACCCUGUGUUGGAUCUUAAGGAAACAAAAAAGAACUAAAAUAUGAUAUUUAUGAAGGAGAAAUAGUAAUCUAUAUCUAUAUAAAUUUGAGAAGGGAUUUUUAGCAACAAGCCUCAUAUAUCUUCCCAUUACCAAUUCCAUUUUUCUAGCAUUUCACAUUUAAUUUAAUUUAUAAAAUAUAUUUCUCUCAACUUCCACAUCUACUCUUCACAUUUGAAAUUAUUGGUUAGUUUUUAAAAUCAUUUCAUUUCAAAUUGUUGAUUGAUGUGCAUGUUAUCUUAUUUGAACUUCAACCCAUCACGUUUUCGAUUGCCUUGCGUUAUUUAUGGUUCUAUAGCAAUUAAAACUUCUAUAAGAUCAUAAGAAGAGAUAACAAAUAUAACAUCCUUUCAUGCUUUCUUAUUAAUUUAAAUAAGUAAGAUUGUUUACACUCCAUUUUUGUUAUUCACACUUCAAUAAUCAUUUUGAUCAUAUCAUUUUCAGUAAUUAGACUAUAUGAUAAAACAAAUGGUGGAAUUGCAAAUAAUAAAAAAUUGAGUGCAAAUAACAUUUUCUUAAGUAAGAAGUGGCUUACAUGCCUUUCUAAUUAAAAAAGUAGUGGCUCCGCUUACAUAGGAAUUUGGUUUGAAGUUUAUUAGUAGGAGGGUAAAUAAAAAGAAAACAUUGCCAAACUUAGUAAAAGUAAAAAAGUAAAUGAUAAUAUUUUAUCUUUAAACUUAGUAAUCCUAAGUAAAAGGGCAAAAUUAAAUAGAAAACAAAAAGGAAAUAAUGUCGUGGAUUUAAAAAAUCAAGAAUGGUACCAUUCAUGAAAUCCAUAUUAUGAAAUCACUAAAUAAAAAAUAAAGUACUACUAGCCUUUUAACGUGGAAACUUUUUUUUUGAAAUAUUCAUUUUUGAUAAAAAAUAAUGAUAAUAACAACACCAAUUCAACCAAAAAUUUUUUAAAAAGUAAUAUUAUAGUUUAAGAGAAAGAUAUAGAACAUUCAACCCUAAAAUACUACUUAAUUUGUAUAUAUCUGGCCCAAAUUUGACAAUAAAUUUGAAUAAGAGUGCAAAACCCAAACAUUAAGGAUAACUUUUGCUAUCAUUAAUUAUUUUAUGUAUUCUUAUUGCUGUCUUCAUAUGUAAAUAUGUAUUUGGUAUGUUAAUAUAUAUAUAUAUAUAUAUAUAUAUAUUGAUUGUAGUACUUGAGGAUAUUAUAGAUAUUAUCAGUUUUUCAUUUCCAUUUUUAGAUACUAAUAAUUGCAACCAUUGUAAUUAAUUUUUAAUUUUAUAUUUUCAUUAUGAUAGGUAAAGUUAAAUAUAUUGGGUCGCAGGGAUAUGAAUUUAGAGCUUAGGUAUAGGGGGAGGAGCGAGGGAAAAAAAUGGUGAGAUGUUGAAAAGUAGCAGGAAAGGUUGAAGAAGAAAUAAGGGUUACAAGGAUAGGCGGAGAAGGGAGAGAAGAAGAAAGGGGAUUGUAGGGAUAUGACAGAGAUGACAAAAAUAAUAAUAAUAAUAAUAGAGAGGGUGGUAUCAUGAUAGAAGAUAUGAAAGUGGUAGGAGGCAUCUGAUGACUAGUUGGCGUAUAAGAGAAGAGGGAAAUGAUGGUGAUUUUUAAUAAUUUUGAGAACUUUAAAAACAUAUAUUACGGAGAAUUUUUUUAAAUUAUACAUUAAAGUUUAGGAAAAAUGCUAAUCUAAAUGUAGUCAACAAUUUUAGGGGUACAAGAUACAAGAAAGAUUUUUUUUUCUAAAAAUGGAAGAAAAUAAAUUGGUUAUAAUUUAUUUUUUUUAUAUUAUAAGUUUUGAUAUAUGGGUAUAACAUAAUAUGUUUUGUCGGAUAUUGAUAAAUUGAUUCUUUUUUAUAAAACUCUUUUCACCUUACCACCCAACCUAACCCUCUCCUUAAAUGCGUUAACAAUUCUUUUAUCAUUUAAAUCAUUAUAUAUUAAAUUUUUUUUCAAGAUAUUAAGCAUACACUUCUUUAAAAUUUUUAGUCUAUAUAUAUAUACUUAUUAUUUUGUACCACAAUAUAAAUAUAUAAAAUAUUAUUUUGAUUUAAAAUAUAACCCCGUGCAUAGCACGGGUCAAAAUACUAGUAUAAUAAAAAGUGGGAUAGAGAGUUGCACAGGGUGUGAGACAGAAGAUUUGUUGCGCAUUCUAAUUCACCAUUUUUUCUCAGCUGCAAGUGCUCCUGCUCUCCACCAUCGCUUCUACCUCCGCCCUAACAUUUUGCCGCUUUCGCCACCGUUUCCCCCAUCGCUCUUCGUUUCAGCCAUCCCUCUUCCCUUCGCCACUCCUGCCAUGCAUCCACCCAUCACCUUGCCAAUCGCAAGACUAAUCCGAGUGCUCUCUCCUUCCCCCUGCUUAAUUUUCUUGAACUGGGUUCUUCAGUCUUGAAGGUAAUAUCUCCUAAGAAUUUGCACUGAAAUUUGACGUUUUCUUACAAAGCACUGCCUAACUCUUGAGUGCCAGAUAUUAAUUCUAGUAAUGGUUCUUGACUUUGGUUUUACAGCCCAGCAAUGGCUCAGAACCUACAGUUGGAAAGACCCUUCUUGAGGACACAGGUCUAUUUUUUUACAGAAACCUGGUACUUGAUUGGUGUAUGAGCUCUUUUAGCAUUUUCUCUGCUGUUCAAUAUUCUUUUUGUUGAAGUAUUGACAUUUUUAAAGCGUAAGCCCCACGUACAACCUUGUUAUCAUGCAAUUUUGGUUUCUAAUAUACUAUAUAGUAAAGAAGUCCAUGUCUUAAUUCCGUGGUGUCAACUUAACGUCAGCUCUAGGAGAUAAUAAAGCUGUUAUUCUUGAGGAUGAUGAGCAAAACAUGGAUAGACGGCAAGUUGCAUCACAUCCUGGAGGUUUGUGGUCUAUUCAACUCCAGCUUUUUGCAUAUGCAACUCAAAGAUAAAUACUCUGUGUCCCUUGAUAAAAUGAGUUCAGACUUUCGACAAGGUUUGAAACGUGAUAUAUACAUUUUCCCAAAAUCCAAUAUAAAGUUUAGUACUCAAUUAGCACUUAAAUUUAAUGGAUUCUAAAAGCACAAAAGGAGGAAGAAAUAAAGAAUCUAAAAUGCACAAAAGGAGGGGGAAAAUGGAUGGAGAAAGAAUCUACCGACAGAAAGAAAAUGGAGUAAAGAAAAUUGAGGUUAUUGACAUUCAACAAGGGAACUUAUUUCAUCCUAAAGCUGCAUUCCGGUGAUUUAAUUACUACUACUGCUGAAGUCUUUAGUAGUGGAUCGAUGCAAUUUUAGUCAAGUAAAUGAACUUGUAUUUGUCACGGUUGAUGGAUUCAAAUAAGCUGUGGUGUGAUUGUUCUCAACAAGACCACAAUUUCUUCUUUGCAUACUCAACCACAUGCACAUGAUUACUUUUGGGCAUAACUUUUAACAACAAUCAACUAACAUAUAAAAGGGAAUUAGUCAAUUGCUUAUGGAAUCAAGUUGAUUGCUGACACAUUUUCCUUUUCUAUGAUAAAGCUUAAAAUCAUUACUCUCUAACUUAUGUUAACAAUAUGGUGGUUUAAUAUGAUGGCCACAGUCAAUUGCUUAAAAGUUUCAGGUUUUUAUUCUUGUUCACACAUAUCUAGUAUGGCUAAAUCUAAAUCUAAAUCCUCAUUUCUAAGUAAUUUAUGUGGUAAACAGAAAGGUUUAACAAUAUAGAUGGGCUAAAAUAUCUUUGACUCAAGUUGAUCGUUGACUCAACUAAGCAAAGAAUCAACUCUGUUCUAUGUAUCCUAGCUAUGAGAUCUACAGCUUCAACAAAUUGAACCUGGUCAACUUAAAGCACCUUAGCACUUUCUACCGUGAUUGUAGGACUAACAUGUUUUGUUUAAGAAUAGCCUCCAAAAGCUUGGCCGUUAGUCGAACCAGUUUACCUGCUGUUAAUGUAGUUUUUCAAGCAGGGAUCAACAAUUACAUGCUUUAGUUUUCUUUUAACAAAAAAGAAAGAUUUUAAUGUUUGAGCCAUAAGUGAUUUAAUCACAUGUUAGUGCAUUACUAAUCCAAUUAGUGACCUCUGGUUUUAGUUUUUUGAUGCCACAACAUAGUUAUUAUAUUAAAAAAGAGCCCUUAUGAUAAAUAUCACCUAACACAUAUAUUUUGACACAAUAUGUCUUGAUCGUAGGUGCACCACUAACUUUAUUAAGUAUGCUACAAGUGAGUAAUAUUAUAAACUAGAAAUUGAUGAUGAUCAGUCAAUAAGUCUGUCAUUAAGUCUAUAACAUGAAUCUUAUUGUUAGUCACCGUUUACUUACUAUCUAUGAUAACUAUCCUAUUUUGUUUAAAUUGAUCUAUAGCUAUAGCUAAGUUGUGCUGAAACUAGUUAGAAUGAUUAUGGACCUAUAAUAUAAUUUCAUGUGGACACAACAAUAACCCGCUUAUUUCUAUACUAUUAGUCUAUUCUUGUCUAGCUUGAAAAUCAUCUUAUACAUGUAAUUAUCACUAAUUACUAGUUUAUAAACCGAUCAACUUGUCAACAUAAACCCUGAUCUUGUUGGUAUCAAUUUGCAGGAACCAGUCAUGGACUAAAAGCCGCUUCAAAUUGCUUUAUGUUUUCUUGGUGAUUAAUAUGAUAUUCAUCCAUUUCUUUGAAAAAAAGAAAAGUUAUCCAUUUCGUACUAAUACUUGAUAUGGUGAUUCUGAAUUGCAGAAUUUGGAUAUUGACAUGGAUAAAGAAGGAGAUGAGUAAAAAGCAAAAAAGAGAGAAGUGAUAGUUGCAAAUUAUAUGAUAACAGUAACCGCAUUAGUAGUUUGGUGGCAUGAGAAACAUAUAGUAAAGAAGCCUUAUUUUGACUUUAAAGUAGCACCUGAAAUAUAUCAAAUGCGUCUUUACUAUGGAAACAGCAGAGUUUGUGUAGAACAACUUCGACUCAAUAAUUGUUUUACUGUUUUAUGUACAAAUUUAAGAGAGCAUUGUGGGUUGAGGGAUACUAGAAAUAUUAUUGUUGAAGAAGUAGUUGCAAUAUUUCUCUAUGUUCUUGCUCAUAACUUUAAGAAUCGCAUUGUCAAUUUUAAUUUCAUAAGAUCAGGUGAGACAGUUAGUCAAUACUUUAAUAUAGUUCUUAACUUUAAAAAAAGUAUCAAGGCUUUAACUUGAUAAAUAUUAACUACUUUUUAAGUUAGAAUAUAUAAUUAUUUUUUAUUUAAUAUAAUUUAAUUAAGAAAAAAGAAACAAGAAUAAUAUUUUUUUUUGCAGAAAAGGAACUAAUUUUUUUUUCUAAUUAUUUUUUAAAGCUUUAGUAACAAUUAGUUAAAUGCAAGAAAAAAUAAAUUAUUAAAGGCAUUAAUUGGUUUUUUCCUUAAAGCUUUAGUAACAAUUACCUAUAUGUUAAAAAAUUAUUAUAUAGUAAAAAAAAAAGAAAUUUUUUAUGAAAGGAAAUGUUAGUUGGAAACAAUUCUAAUUCUUAACGAAUUCUUCUCCCAUCCAAAUAAAGAAUUUGAAAUUCUGAAUGAAUUCUGUAUCAAUGUUAUGCAUUUCCCAAACAAAAGAAUUCCAAUAUUUUGGAAUUCCAAUUCUGUAGAACCAAACGUACCCUAAAUUUACACAAAAUUCGUAGCAUCGGGGACCACAUUUGCAAAAGUCAAAAGUUUGGGGACUACAUAAGUUAUAAAAUGGAUCGAUUAUAGCGUAAUUUCCAGCAACAUGGGGGUCUUUUGUUUUGUUGGGUGUAGUCCAUUGGGUUGCCCGUGAACCGCGUGGGAAAUUGUUCAAUUAUUUAACCUUUGCAAAUUGGUGGGUGCCCCGCCACCUCUUUCAAUUUUUUUUUUUUAAUAUAAGUAGGAUCCGAAUCUCUAAUUUACAGCUCAAAAGAGAGACUUUAAUCUUUUUUAAAUGGCCACUACCUUUGCAAGUUGGCAAGCUAUCCUGUUUACAUAAAGGUUGGGAUUUUACUGUGGAAUAUGUGUUGGCAGAUCCAGGCGUGAAUAAGUUAUUUAACAGCUGAAUAUUGGAAGAUAACAUUACAAUAGUCAAAAAAAAAUUUACUGCUAUUGUCUAUUGUGCAUCAUCCUGGAAAAUUCAAGCAACUAUUUUAGAAAAUGACUCUCAUAAUUAUGGUCAAGCCAAUCCAACAGUGCUACCAAGCUCGAAAAUACAGCAAAAGGUAAAAUGCUUUGAAACCGGAUCGACAAGUGAAUUGGAUGAGCUUCCUAUUUAUGGCUCAAUCAAUUCAACCUGUUAAACUCCGAUUUAAUGAUUUUAUAAAAUUUUAAUUAUAUUAACGUUAAAUAAUUUGAAUAACAUUAAUGUAUAAAAAAUAAUGAAAAAUCGGUCCAAAGGCCGGUUUUUUAACUGAUCCAAUAGUGCUCCCAAGCUUGAAAAUAUAGCAAAAGGCAAUAUUUUGAAAUUGGGGCCUACAAGUGAACUGGAUGAAUUUUUUAUUCAAUUAAUUUUGCGGUUCAAUCUCUGUUUAGUGAUUUUAUUAUUUUUUUGUUUAUUUUAAAAUUAAAUUUUUUGGAUAAAAUUAAUAUAUGAGCUAGAAAUAAAAUUUUUGUGUAAAACCAGUUCAAAGACCUUUUUUUUUCUUAUCGAUUUUGAUUCAUCUGAUCGAAUUUGAUUGAUUCAAUUGAGUUUCUGGGUUAAAUAUAGAAAAACAAAUUAUUCGGGAAAUCACUAAACCUUUUUAAUAGUCAAGAUUUAGCCACUCAAUUAUUAAUAGUAUGUUGUUUUCCAUUAAACUAUUAAUAAUAUCAAUUUUGUGCCAUUUCAUCUAAUUUCACUAUUGACUCUGUUAGAUCUAAGGGUCUACACAAGAUAUAUUAGUAAUGGUUAAAUCUGGUAGAGUUAAUGACAAAUUAGAUGGAAUGACCUAAAAUUUAAAUUUUUAAUAGUUUAGUGGGUAAAAACUUAGCUGGCCACUGUAUCCCGAGCCCAUGCACCUUCCUGAGUUCUGAGAUAGAGGUUUGGAGGGGGUGCCUAGGCAUCAAAGUGCUCCUUUCUCUUGGUGGAGGGGGUGCCGGGGCAGGGAGAGGACCAAUCCUGGCUUCUCCCGAGGAUGCUCGCGACGUUGCAGCCUACCUCUGGAACAAUUAUUUGGGCGGUCAAUCAAACUCUCGUCCAUUUGGUGAUGCUGUUUUAGAUGGUAUAGAUUUUGACAUCGAAUAUGGAUCGAACCUGUACUGGGAUGAUCUUGCCCGGGACCUCUCGGGAUACAGCAUAGCAGAGAGAAAGGUGUACUUAUCUGCAGCACGACAAUGCUUCUUUCCUGACUAUUAUCUUGAUGCUGCUAUCAGAACUGGCCUCUUUGAUUUCGUCUGGG
rnacentral:lncRNA from 1 species